AGUUAGUGGCGAACGGGUGAGUAACGCGUGAGCAACCUGCCUUUCAGAGGGGGACAACGGUUGGAAACGACUGCUAAUACCGCAUGAUGCAUUUGGAUCGCACGGUCUGAAUGCCAAAGAUUAUAUCGCUGAAAGAUGGGCUCGCGUCUGAUUAGAUAGUUGUGGGGUAACGGCCCACCAAGUCUGCGGAUCAGUAGCCGGACUGAGAGGUUGAACGGCCACAUUGGGACUGAGAUACGGCCCAGACUCCUACGGGAGGCAGGCAGUGGGGAAUAUUUGGGGCAAUGGGGGAAACCCUGACCCAGCAACGCCGCGUGAAGGAAGAAGGCUUUCGGGUUGUAAACUUCUUUUACCAGGGACGAAGGACGUGACGGUACCUGGAGAAAAAGCCACGGCUAACUACGUGCCAGCCGCCGC
rnacentral:rRNA from 1 species